rnacentral:tmRNA from 1 species
GGGGGCGUAAAGGUUUCGACGGGGAUUAUGCACUAUGGUAAGCGGGUAGAGCGGGCGGAGGCUCUAUAAAAGCCGCACAAAACAAUAAAUGCGAAAACUUCUAAGACCAACAACUACUCCUUCGGAGGGUUGUGCGCAGCCUAACUUAGGCUGUCCGUAUGCCGCCUGACGACCACUGGCUGGCGGUAUGCGUCAUUUUAAGUGGUGAACGUCCGGCCGGGUAGCCUUGACGGCCGGAUGUACAAAAGGCUACCAAAGCCGUAAGCCUGCCGUUCGGCGUACGGCCAAGGGAAUUUCAAAAGAACCGGCUACACCCGUAGAAAGCCAUGGGAAUUGAUUUUCGGACGUGGGUUCGACUCCCACCGCCUCCACCA